GACGAACGCUGGCGGCGUGCUUAACACAUGCAAGUCGAACGAUGAAGCCUAGCUUGCUAGGUGGAUUAGUGGCGAACGGGUGAGUAAUACGUGAGUAACCUACCUUUAACUCUGGGAUAAGCCUGGGAAACUGGGUCUAAUACCGGAUACGACCAAUCUCCGCAUGGGGUGUUGGUGGAAAGCGUUAUGUAGUGGUUAUAGAUGGGCUCACGGCCUAUCAGCUCGUUGGUGAGGUAACGGCUCACCAAGGCGACGACGGGUAGCCGGCCUGAGAGGGUGACCGGCCACACUGGGACUGAGACACGGCCCAGACUCCUACGGGAGGCAGCAGUGGGGAAUAUUGCACAAUGGGCGCAAGCCUGAUGCAGCGACGCCGCGUGAGGGAUGACGGCCUUCGGGUUGUAAACCUCUGUUAGCAGGGAAGAAGAGAGAUUGACGGUACCCGCAGAGAAAGCGCCGGCUAACUACGUGCCAGCAGCCGCGGUAAUACGUAGGGCGCGAGCGUUGUCCGGAAUUAUUGGGCGUAAAGAGCUUGUAGGCGGUUUGUCGCGUCUGCUGUGAAGGCCGGGGCUUAACCCCGUGUAUUGCAGUGGGUACGGGCAGACUAGAGUGCAGUAGGGGAGACUGGAAUUCCUGGUGUAGCGGUGGAAUGCGCAGAUAUCAGGAGGAACACCGAUGGCGAAGGCAGGUCUCUGGGCUGUAACUGACGCUGAGAAGCGAAAGCAUGGGGAGCGAACAGGAUUAGAUACCCUGGUAGUCCAUGCCGUAAACGUUGGGCACUAGGUGUGGGGGACAUUCCACGUUUUCCGCGCCGUAGCUAACGCAUUAAGUGCCCCGCCUGGGGAGUACGGCCGCAAGGCUAAAACUCAAAGAAAUUGACGGGGGCCCGCACAAGCGGCGGAGCAUGCGGAUUAAUUCGAUGCAACGCGAAGAACCUUACCAAGGCUUGACAUAUACUGGACCGCAUCAGAGAUGGUGUUUCCCUUCGGGGCUGGUAUACAGGUGGUGCAUGGUUGUCGUCAGCUCGUGUCGUGAGAUGUUGGGUUAAGUCCCGCAACGAGCGCAACCCUCGUUCUAUGUUGCCAGCACGUUAUGGUGGGGACUCAUAGGAGACUGCCGGGGUCAACUCGGAGGAAGGUGGGGAUGACGUCAAAUCAUCAUGCCCCUUAUGUCUUGGGCUUCACGCAUGCUACAAUGGCCGGUACAGAGGGUUGCGAUACUGUGAGGUGGAGCUAAUCCCUAAAAGCCGGUCUCAGUUCGGAUUGGGGUCUGCAACUCGACCCCAUGAAGUCGGAGUCGCUAGUAAUUGCAGAUCAGCAACGCUGCGGUGAAUACGUUCCCGGGCCU
rnacentral:rRNA from 1 species